rnacentral:rRNA from 1 species
GAUGAACGCUAGCUACAGGCCUAACACAUGCAAGUCGAGGGGAAACGGCAGCUUAGCUUGCUAAGCUGGACGUCGACCGGCGCACGGGUGAGUAACGCGUAUCCAACCUGCCCCACGGUGAGGGAUAACCCGCGGAAACGCGGCCUAAUACCUCAUGGUCUCCGAGCUUGACAUCAACCUUGGAGUAAAGAUUCAUUGCCGUGGGAUGGGGAUGCGUCUGAUUAGCUUGUUGGCGGGGCAACGGGCCCACCAAGGCGACGAUCAGUAGGGGUUCUGAGAGGAAAGCCCCCCCACAUUGGAACUGAGACACGGUCCAAACUCCUACGGGAGGCAGCAGUGAGGAAUAUUGGUCAAUGGGCGAGAGCCUGAACCAGCCAAGUAGCGUGCAGGAUGACGGCCCUAUGGGUUGUAAACUGCUUUUANGCGGGGAUAAAGUGGGCCACGCGUGGCCUUUUGCAGGUACCGCAUGAAUAAGGACCGGCUAAUUCCGUGCCAGCAGCCG